GGCGAACACCCGAGGUACACUGUGAUCCGCCGUGUAUGUAUUGUAUACAUGCCUCUAUAAGCUGUGUUGGUGUUUAUUCCCAGGUAUCCGCAUGUAGAUAUCAAGUGUAGACAAAUCUACCUAUUGGAUCAGGAUGUGCUAUCACUAAGUACCGAUUGUUGGCGGUGGACUAUUAUGGCAAGCUCCCCGAUUCUAGCACCAGACUAUCAUGGUUAGACACAUCUCCGGGCUCCUGGUGACAUUGUGGGUGUGUACAGCUAUUGCCAUGCAUUGUCACAACCCAAUCGGUUGUCUCGCCGGCAGGUACCCGGAUUACAAUACUGUGACGGAUUGCAUACUUGGAACUAAUGGUUUAGAGAAAAAUAGUUUCCAUGGUGACUUGGUGUCUCGUGAAGGGAACGAUUGUGUGAACGUGGAACCGGUGAUUCAACCAAAUAACAACAAGUUAACAUCACGAAACAAACUUCAUAGAAAGCUGAGGGGUUCGAAACGUCAGAAAAAGAAGAAAAAACGCAAAUCACGUCGAAAACGACAUCUCUGAUACAAGUGACGAUUUGUUGAUUUGAUCGUUGGAGCCUCGUUGUGUAUUUGAUUUAAACAACACAUUUCUUUGCAAGGUUGUUUACAUGAGAUUGGCCAUAAAUAGCGACGGGUCUAAAUCAUUUAGGAAUAUAUUGAUCGUAUGGAUGUGGACUUACGUGUUUGACAUUCAGUCGAUAUUUUCUGGUGGAAAUAUCAACAAAAUCCAUACAACACACCAGUAAAAUGGAAGUUCCACUAAGUUUAUACCCAUUUACCAAAUUAAGACGAAGAUUGGCGUCAGAGGUUAUGUCGGUGCGGCACGCUACACUCGGCCUACACUAUCUACAUGAGGGUAACAUAUUUGAUCAAACAGUAUCGAGAUUGUCCAAGUCUCGCCAGUAAAAUACGGAACAGUGUUCCUCCAACAGAAAUUUAUUUACGCAUUUUGAACAAAGACAUGCAGACGGUAUUGGGAAUAGUACACAAACACGGACUGUGCACAAAGGAUGGUUUAAACGCAGGAUAAAUUGACUGCUAUUACAUUCCAACAUGGUGAAUGAAUAGUUGGAAAUGCAAUGCGACUAUAUAGCCAUAACAAAUUCGGAUGUCUUUCAUAUUUCAAUAAAUAGCAUGACCCCCACUGUUGACCUCAUCAUUAUGAUGGGAUAUUUGUAACGUUCGGAUUCGCUCUAUAAGAACCCACGUGACAUUGGUCUCUAGAGGUUUCAACCCAAAUGGUAAAUAUAAAUCAGUUGAUAUAACAUUCUAUGUUUAAAUCAUUCGGAAUGUCCAACAGUGUUGUUUUAUAGACAUCAAACUGCUAUCAGUUGGCAUUUAUAUUCAGGAUGAAUACUGAUUGAAAGAAGUUCAAUGUAUAAACCAGCUCCCGAAGAUCAGUUGUCCAUUAGCAGCUUCCACGUAUAUGGUCGUCAAUGAACGUGCUAGAGGGAAUCGAUUUAACACAAUAUACAAUGUCAUUCCGAAUAAGAUUUACUGAGAAAGAAUAAUCAUUUUACUUUCAAUAAACAAUUGUAAUUGUAGAUCAUUGCUUCACUAGACGAUUGUUACUGUACAGUAUUGCUUCACUAGACAAUUGUAAUUGUAGAGUAUUGCUUCACUAGACAAUUGUAAUUGUAGAGUAUUGCUUCACUAGACAAUUUUAAUUGUACAGUAUUGCUUCACUAGAUAAUUGUAAUUGUACAGCAUUGCUUCACUAGACAAUUGUAAUUGUACAGCAUUGCUUCACAAGACAUUUGUAAUUGUACAGCAUUGCUUCACUAGUCACUAGGCAAUUGUAAUUGAACAGCAUUGCUUCACUAGACAAUUGUAAUUGUACAGUAUUGCUUCACUAGACGAUUGUAAUUGUACAGCAUUGCUUCACUAGACAAUUGUAAUUGUACAGUAUUGCUUCACUAGACAAUUGUUACUGUACAGCAUUGCUUCACUAGACGAUUGUAAUUGUACAGUAUUGCUUCACUAGACGAUUGUAAUUAUACAGCAUUGCUUCACUAGACGAUUGUAAUUGUACAGUAUUGCUUCACUAGAUAAUUGUACAGUAUUGCUUCACUAGACGAUUGUAACUGUACAGUAUUGCUGCACUAGACAAUUGUAACUGUACAGCAUUGCUUCACUAGACAAUUGUAAUUGUACAGUAUUGCUGCACUAGACAAUUGUUACUGUACAGUAUUGCUUCACUAGACAAUUGUACAGUAUUGCUUCACUAGACGAUUGUAAUUGUACAGUAUUGCUUCACUAGACAAUUGUAAUUGUACAGUAUUGCUUCACUAGACAAGUGUACAGCAUUGCUUCACUAGACAUUUGUAAUUGUACAGCAUUGCUUCACUAGACAAUUGUAAUUGUACAGCAUUGCUUCACUAGACAAUUGUAAUUGUACAGUAUUGCUUCACUAGACAAUUGUAAUUGUACAGUAUUGCUUCACUAGACAAUUGUAAUUGUACAGUAUUGCUUCACUAGACAAUUGUAAUUGUACAGCAUUGCUUCACUAGACGAUUGUAAUUGUACAGCAUUGCUUCACUAGACAAUUGUAAUUGUACAGUAUUGCUUCACUAGACAAUUGUAAUUGUACAGUAUUGCUUCACUAGACAAUUGUAAUUGUACAGUAUUGCUUCACUAGACAAUUGUAAUUGUACAGUAUUGCUUCACUAGACAAUUGUAAUUGUACAGUAUUGCUUCACUAGACAAUUGUACAGUAUUGCUUCACUAGACAAUUGUAAUUGUACAGUAUUGCUUCACUAGACAAUUGUAAUUGUACAGUCAUUGCUUCACUAGACGAUUGUAAUUGUACAGCAUUGCUUCACUAGACUAAUUGUAAUUGUACAGCAUUGCUUCACUAGACAAUUGUAAUUGUACAGCAUUGCUUCACUAGACAAUUGUUACUGUACAGUAUUGCUUCACUAGACGAUUGUAAUUGUACAGUAUUGCUUCACUAGACAAUUGUAAUUGUACAGCAUUGCUUCACUAGACAAUUGUAAUUGUACAGCAUUGCUUCAUUAGACACUAGACAAUUGUAAUUGUACAGUAUUGCUUCACUAGACAAUUGUAAUUGUACAGCAUUGCUUCACUAGACAAUUGUAAUUGUACAGCAUUGCUUCACUAGACACUAGACAAUUGUAAUUGUACAGCAUUGCUUCACUAGACAAUUGUAAUUGUACAGCAUUGCUUCACUAGACAAUUGUAAUUGUACAGCAUUGCUUCACUAGACAAUUGUAAUUGUACAGUAUUGCUUCACUAGACAAUUGUAAUUGUACAGUAUUGCUUCACUAGACAAUUGUACAGUAUUGCUUCACUAGACAAUUGUAAUUGUACAGCAUUGCUUCACUAGACAAUUGUAAUUGUACAGUAUUGCUUCACUAGACAAUUGUUAUUGUACAGUAUUGCUUCACUAGACGAUUGUUAUUGUACAGCAUUGCUUCACAAGACAAUUGUAAUUGUAAAGCAUUGCUUCACUAGACAAUUGUAAUUGUACAGCACUGCUUCACUAGACAAUUGUAAUUGUAGAUCAUUGCUUCACUAGAGCGAUUGUAAUUGUAAAGCAUUGCUUCACUAGACAAUUGUUAUUGUACAGCAUUGCUUCACAAGACAAUUGUAAUUGUAAAGCAUUGCUUCACUAGACAAUUGUAAUUGUACAGCAUUGCUUCACUAGACAAUUGUAAUUGUAGAUCAUUGCUUCACUAGAGCGAUUGUAAUUGUACAGCAUUGCUUCACUAGACGAUUGUCAUUGUACAGCAUUGCUUCACUAGACAAUUGUAAUUGUACAGUAUUGCUUCACUAGACGAUUGUUACUGUACAGCAUUGCUUCACUAGACAAUUGUAAUUGUACAGCGUUGCAUCACUGAACUCCAAACUUCAACAUGUAAAUGUCAAGGCGGUCAGACAACGGUUUGUACGAAUAAUAAUAAUAAAUGAAUGAAAUAAAAUUUGGAACCAACAUUUUUGAGUCGGUUACAAAUGAUACCGUCAGUUUAAUAUCAGGACUUCCGGCUCAUAUUUUAUCACUUUUGAUAGAAAUCAAACAUUUCAUAAUUGCUCAGGUCCCGAAUUGUAUAUUACUUGCAGAUCAACACAAUGUCACACCGUUUCAUCAACAAGUAGUUGUCACAUCUUACUCUGUCCAUUACACAUGAGUAAAAAACUAAAGUGUCAAGUUUGACAGAGUAGAAAUGGCUUCCUUAAGAUAUCAUGCAGCCACCUUCCAAUAACUGUAAAGUGUGGUCUGCAAUUGUUUUCUUAAAUGAAAUGUAUUGUUUCGGUGAACAAUUUAUCUUUUAGAUUUCUGAUUAUUCGCAUUCAAUAUAUGUAAUUUCACUGUUGUAAUGCUAUCUUGUACCUGGCAAUGAUGUGUGAUUCACUCUAGUGUUAUCUCAGCCUAAGUACAUCUGGAUGUGUGAAAUUAGAAGGGAUUAACACCUGCACGAUGCCAUACUGAAAUCCAUCAUAGCCAAGUACACAUCUUCGCUAGCCAAGUCUCCUGAUUGUGUUACACUCCACGACCGUGAAUCAGAAGCCUUGGCUAUAGCGAAGAUGUGUACACAAAAGAAAGAAUGGAAACCCUGUAGAGUGAUGUUAAAGACAACUUUAUUUAAAAUGCAUAACAUUUUCUGAGCACAGUGAGCUGAAGCAUAUUCAAGCACUCUAAAAGGUCACAACACAAGAACUUGAAACAAAUAAAUAAAUAAAUUCACAUACAGUAUAAAAUUGCUUGCUGCAAAUACUUAGUAAAUUACAUUAUCUAUAAAUUAAAUUAAUUGUACAAAGUGCUUUAGUGAACUUUGUUCAUUUUUAAUUUCAUACAUUUAAUAGUUUCAUGAAAUUACAUUCAUGAAAUUAUAUAUACCUUGUAUCUUCAGGUUUCAUUAGUACAAAGCGUUUUUUAUGUUGAAUUCAUCCAUACAAAGUCAGACAAAAAUUUACCAUAGUACUGUAUGUUUUUGAAGAAACUUAAAUCUGAAUAAUAUUGGCAAACUCAAUAAUAGCAACAUUUGAAAUUAACGAACUUAGUUGGUAACUUGUGUUUUGUUAUAAAAUCCAGAUAGAUAUUAUU